rnacentral:rRNA from 1 species
AUUGAACGCUGGCGGCAGGCCUAACACAUGCAAGUCGAACGGUAACAGGAAGAAGCUUGCUUCUUUGCUGACGAGUGGCGGACGGGUGAGUAAUGUCUGGGAAACUGCCUGAUGGAGGGGGAUAACUACUGGAAACGGUAGCUAAUACCGCAUAACGUCGCAAGACCAAAAAGGGGGACCUUCGGGCCUCUUGCCAUCGGAUGUGCCCAGAUGGGAUUAGCUAGUAGGUGGGGUAACGGCUCACCUAGGCGACGAUCCCUAGCUGGUCUGAGAGGAUGACCAGCCACACUGGAACUGAGACACGGUCCAGACUCCUACGGGAGGCAGCAGUGGGGAAUAUUGCACAAUGGGCGCAAGCCUGAUGCAGCCAUGCCGCGUGUAUGAAGAAGGCCUUCGGGUUGUAAAGUACUUUCAGCGGGGAGGAAGGGAGUAAAGUUAAUACCUUUGCUCAUUGACGUUACCCGUAGAAGAGGCACCGGCUAACUCCGUG